rnacentral:rRNA from 1 species
UACGGAGGGAGCUAGCGUUGUUCGGAUUCAUUGGGCGUAAAGGGUGCGUAGGUGGCAUGGUAAGUCGGAUGUGAAAUCCCGAGGCUCAACCUCGGGUCUGCAGUCGAUACGAGCAAACUAGAGUGUUGCAGGGGAGACUGGAAUUCCUGGUGUAGCGGUGAAAUGCGCAGAUAUCAGGAGGAACACCGGUGGCGAAGGCGGGUCUCUGGGCAACAACUGACGCUGAGGAGCGAAAGCGUGGGGAGCGAACAGG